GACGAACGCUGGCGGCGUGCUUAACACAUGCAAGUCGAACGGAAAGGCCCUGCUUUUGUGGGGUGCUCGAGUGGCGAACGGGUGAGUAACACGUGAGUAACCUGCCCUUGACUUUGGGAUAACUUCAGGAAACUGGGGCUAAUACCGGAUAGGAGCUCCUGCUGCAUGGUGGGGGUUGGAAAGUUUCGGCGGUUGGGGAUGGACUCGCGGGUUAUCAGCUUGUUGGUGGGGUAGUGGCUUACCAAGGCUUUGACGGGUAGCCGGCCUGGGAGGGUGACCGGGCACAUUGGGACUGAGAUACGGCCCAGAGUGCAACGGGAGGCAGCAGUGGGGAAUAUGGCACAGUGGGCGGAAGCCUGAUGCAGCAGCGCCGCGUGCGGGAUGACGGCCUUCGGGUUGUAAACCGCUUUCGCCUGUGACGAAGCGUGAGUGACGGUAAUGGGUAAAGAAGCACCGGCUAACUACGUG
rnacentral:rRNA from 1 species